UACGAAGGGGGCUAGCGUUGCUCGGAAUCACUGGGCGUAAAGCGCACGUAGGCGGAUUGCUAAGUCAGGGGUGAAAUCCUGGAGCUCAACUCCAGAACUGCCUUUGAUACUGGCAAUCUCGAGUCCGGGAGAGGUGAGUGGAACUGCGAGUGUAGAGGUGAAAUUCGUAGAUAUUCGCAAGAACACCAGUGGCGAAGGCGGCUCACUGGCCCGGUACUGACGCUGAGGUGCGAAAGCGUGGGGAGCAAACAGG
rnacentral:rRNA from 1 species